CGCAGCAAUACCGCGUGAGUGAUGAAGGCUCUUGGGUCGUAAAGCUCUGUCAGAGGGGAAGAACCUCCUAACGUAUAAUACACGUUAGGCCUGACGGUACCCUCAGAGGAAGCACCGGCUAACUCCGUGCCAGCAGCCGCGGUAAUAAUCGAAUUCCCGCGGCCGCCAUGGCGGCCG
rnacentral:rRNA from 1 species